AUUAGUGGCGGACGGGUGAGUAACACGUGGGAACGUGCCCUUAGGUUCGGAACAACACAGGGAAACUUGUGCUAAUACCGGAUAAGCCCUUACGGGGAAAGAUUUAUCGCCUUUGGAGCGGCCCGCGUCUGAUUAGCUUGUUGGUGAGGUAAAGGCUCACCAAGGCUACGAUCAGUAGCUGGUCUGAGAGGAUGGCCAGCCACACUGGGACUGAGACACGGCCCAGACUUCUACGGGAGGCAGCAGUGGGGAAUCUUGCGCAAUGGGGGAAACCCUGACGCAGCCAUGCCGCGUGGAUGAUGAAGGU
rnacentral:rRNA from 1 species